CCGGAUUUAUUGGGUUUAAAGGGUGCGCAGGCGGGAGAUUAAGUCGGCGGUGAAAUUUUGCAGCUUAACUGUAAAAGUGCCAUCGAUACUGGUUUCCUUGAGUGUAGAUGAAGUAGGCGGAAUUUGUGGUGUAGCGGUGAAAUGCAUAGAUAUCACGAGGAACUCCGAUUGCGCAGGCAGCUUACUAAACUACUACUGACGCUCAGGCACGAAGGCGUGGGGAUCAAACAGGAUUAGAUACCCUGGUAGUCCACGCAGUAAACGAUGAUUACUCGCUGUUUGCGAUAUACAGUAAGCGGCUUAGCGAAAGCGUUAAGUAAUCCACCUGGGGAGUACGUUCGCAAGAAUGAAACUCAAAGGAAUUGACGGGGGCCCGCACAAGCGGAGGAACAUGUGGUUUAAUUCGAUGAUACGCGAGGAACCUUACC
rnacentral:rRNA from 1 species